CUGAAAGUGAAACCCUGAAGGAAUCUGCAUCCGUCAGUCGAUUUCCAAGCCCUUUCCAAUGUAAAAACACCGCGAGCCAUGACUUUAGAAGUAAAAUAUCCAGAAUGCCUACCACACUGAGCUCCAGCCAUGGGCAACACCACGUCUAACACGUGAUUGUUCCUCACUGUCCUGGGUGUCCCCAGCAUUCACGCAAGGGCUUAGCAGCCCAUGAAAAUCAACUACGAUCUAUGAAGCGAGCACCGCAGUCAGUUAAUAUCGGCAGCAAGUUAUCAAAAAGUUCUUUGUUACGAAUCUGCCUAGUGAAUGUUAAAAGUAAGAUUUCCCAAACAUCUCCUCCCC